rnacentral:rRNA from 1 species
UACGUAGGGGGCAAGCGUUGUCCGGAAUCAUUGGGCGUAAAGAGCGCGUAGGCGGUCCUGUAAGUCCGCUGUGAAAGUCAAGGGCUCAACCCUUGGAUGCCGGUGGAUACUGCAGGGCUAGAGUCCGGAAGAGGCGAGUGGAAUUCCUGGUGUAGCGGUGAAAUGCGCAGAUAUCAGGAGGAACACCGAUGGCGAAGGCAGGUCUCUGGGCCAUAACUGACGCUGAGAAGCGAAAGCAUGGGGAGCGAACAGG